UGCAUUUAUUUGUCAUUUAUAAUUUCGAAUAAUUUUGAUUUCAACAUUGAUAUCAAAUUUACUAUAAAUUUGGAACUUACUAAAUUGCAAAUUCAUUGUAAUUCAUGAUUGACCCAUUCAUUAAUAAUCAAUCAAUUGAACCACUCACCAUUCAUUCAGUAUGAAUGACCCAUUCGUACCGGAAGAAAUGUUUUGCGUCAAUGGCCGUUCAUGGGGUCUCAGGAAAAUAAAACCAAAUGAAAGGGUAUUACACAUUUUUCGAUUACUUAUCAAUGGAUCAUCAUCAUCAUCAUCAUCACUAGGAUCGUGAUCAUUGUGGUGACACAAUGUCUAUAAACAAGAGUGAGAAAAUAAACAAAAAUUGCUUACCUAUACCAUUUUCAUUAUAA